AAGUCGUAACAAGGUUUCCGUAGGUGAACCUGCGGAAGGAUCAUUACAUAAUCAAUUACAAUGUGCUGUCUCUCUCUCUCGAGAGAGAGAGACAGUAUAUUAUAAACCCUUGUGAACCGUUAUCGACACCUUUGGCGUAGCUUAUGGUUGUCAAACCCCGCGCUAACCGAACCACCUUACGGUGUGUGGUCAGCGCGCCGGGGGCGAUGGCUGUUACGUCAGACGGUACCAAACAAAACAAACCAUUUGCACACCUAUCUUGACUUAAUCUAAGAUUUUCUAAUUGAAAUACAACUUUUAACAAUGGAUCUCUUGGCUCUU
rnacentral:misc_RNA from 1 species